rnacentral:ncRNA from 1 species
UACUUUUUUCGCCCAGGCGGCGCUCGACCGCGAACUGAAGAAAUAAAUACCUACAUUGAUCAGCAUCGGAAUCUGUAUGGGUUGAGCCAAUCUGCAAAAUCCUGCAGGUUACCCCC